UUGCCGGCUCCGUCCUCGGGACUUCCACUUUUUUGACUGGGUUGUAAUAAACUGCUACUCCGUGAAUAGGCGUGAGAUGGAGCAGGAGUUUAAGAUGAUAUAUAAGAUAUCCUUCCUCCAUUUUCCUCCCACAACAACCAUAUGAGGGAAGGGACUUUGUUAUAACAGAAACUCCAGAAGAAGGAAGAGAAGCAACCUUAUACUGAUACUUUUACUAAGAUUUCCUGUCCACUUAACUACAGUGCUAGUAAAUGCUAAACCAAAUAAAUAUCAAAAUUUGAUUUUGAAAGAGGAUAUUAGCAAUCAAAGUGCAGUUGCAAAAAUGGGUAUAAUUAGCAAUGUAGUUUGAGAAAGUUUUCAGGAACAAACUUUCUGAGAAAUAAAUAUAAAGUGAUUCUAAAAUACAGUACCCACGUAGAUGAUAGAACCACCUCAAAUGCUAAACAAGCUCAAAAUAAAUUAGUCAUCAACAGCCUAUAGAGGAGGUCAGGAAGUAAAAAAAAUAGCAGCAUGAAAUAAUCUCUAUGUAUUGCUGCUAAAAGAAUUAAAGGGUGGCAGGAAGUCACCAAGGUUGAGUGUGACUUUAAGGAAAUGUUGCUUUUUAAAAAAGAUAUCCCAUGUUAAACAAAUAUACUAUACAAGCACACUUAUAUAUCCUGUUUAAAAGAAAAAUUGACCACAUUGUGAAAAACUUGCUUAUUUCCAACCUGUGUUGUUGUCUAGUGUUUGUUAAUAGACUUCUGUUAUUUGUAAUAUUACCAACCCCCAUUUUCUACUUUUAAGGUAAUAAUUAUG